UACGUAGGAGGCAAGUGUUAUCCGGAUUUACUGGGCGUAAAGAGGGCGCAGGUGGUUCUUCAAGUCGGAUGUAAAAUCUCCCGGCUUAACUGGGAGGAGCCAUGCGAUACUGUGGAACUUGAGGGCAACAGAGGGAGGUGGAAUUCCCGGUGGAGUGGUGAAAUGCGUAGAUAUCGGGAGGAACACCAGUGGCGAAGGCGGCCUCCUAGGUUGUUCCUGACACUGAGGCCCGAAAGCGUGGGGAGCGAACAGGAUUAGAUACCCCUGUA
rnacentral:rRNA from 1 species